UCCGGCGUAGCUCAGUUGGCAGAGCAGAUGACUGUUAAUCAUCGGGUCGCAGGUUCGCGCCCUGCCGCCUGAGCCA
rnacentral:tRNA from 1 species